UACGUAGGGGGCAAGCGUUGUCCGGAUUUAUUGGGCGUAAAGAGCGUGUAGGCGGCUAGGUAGGUCCGUUGUGAAAACUCGAGGCUCAACCUCGAGACGCCGGUGGAAACCAUCUAGCUAGAGUCCGGAAGAGGAGAAUGGAAUUCCCGGUGUAGCGGUGAAAUGCGCAGAUAUCGGGAGGAACACCGGUGGCGAAGGCGGUUCUCUGGGCCUUACCUGACGCUGAGGAGCGAAAGCGUGGGGAGCGAACAGG
rnacentral:rRNA from 1 species